UUUUUUUUUUUUUCUUUUUUUUGCUGUUUAGGGCUGCACCCAAAGCAUAUGGAGGUGCCCAGGCUAGGGGUCAAACUGGAGCUGCAGCUGCCGGCCUACACCACGGCCACAGCAACUCAGGAUCCGAGCCACAUCUGGCGUUGCUGUGGCUGUGGUGUAGGCUGGUGGCUGCAGCUCCAAUUCAACCCCGAGCCUGGGAACCUCCAUACACCACUCCACGGGUGUGGCCCUCAAAAAAGACACACAAAAAAUGUAACUACAUAAAAUGUCAUGCACACAUGCACACACAUACAUAAACGUUGCUCUCCCUAUUACUCUUUUUAUUUUUUUGUCUUUUUAGGGCCGCACGUACAGCAUAUGGAAGCCCCCAGGCUAGGAGUCUAAUGAGAGCUGCAGCUGCAGGCCUACACCACAGCCACACAGGGUCCGAACCACAUGUGCCAACUACAGCGCAGCUCACAGCACUGCCGGAUCCUUAACCUACUGAACGAGGCCAGGGAUCGAACACGUGUCCUCAUGGACACUAAUCCAGUUCAUUACUGCUGGGCCACAACGGGAACUCCCCAUUACUCUUCAACUCAUAAAUGUGAGCGUAGAAAAGAAAUGUAAGGCAAUGAAAACUAUUUAAGAUAUAAUUGCAACAACGAAAUAACAUAUGCCAUUUAGAAAUAAUAUGUAUUUUAUAAAAACCAUGGGCUGUGUAUCCAGGCACUCAUGCAUACACUUCAAUUUAAUAGAACAAGAGUUGUCUCUCUCUGACCACCAUAAAGUCUCUUCACAAGCUACGGUCACUGGGUCAUGGGGACUUGGAGUCUAAGUGGAGGGGACAGGCCCUGAGAGGAGGCCCUGGGUGACUGGGAAUGGACAGUGUCAGGCAGGACACUUCAGACAAGAUGAGUGAGUCCAAAGAAGGGCAUCCCAGGAAGGACAGACUGAAAAAGCAAGACUGAGAAUAUGACUUUACCUGAGAGAGCGCCAUCUGGGACGCCUUUUCUUUCCUCUUCCUCCUCUUCUGGACUUCUUCCUCAGGAAACCUGAGUCUUUAGAGGUUGAGCUUGAAAGGUGCAAAGAUGCUGGAGUUCCCUCUGUGGCUCAGCAGAAAUGAACCCGACUAGUCUCCAUGGGGACAUGGGUUCGAUCUCUGGCCUUGCUUCGUGGGUUAAGGAGCCAGUGUUGCCGUGAGCUGUGGUGUAGGUCGCAGACGCGGCUCAGAUCCUGCAGUGCUGUGGCUGUGGUGUAGGCUGGUGGCUGCAGCUCUGAUUCAGCUCUUAGCCUGGGAACCUCCAUGUGCUGAGGGUGGGGCCCUAAAAAGACAAAAAAAUUAAUGAAUUUUUAAAAAAAAGUUGCAAAGAUGCUGUUAAAUGCUCAGGAUCAUCAUGCCCCCUUCCUGUGCCACAACCACACACACAGGGGAGAGGUCACCAUGUGGAAGAGACGGCCUCUGCUGCCCACGGUCCCAGGAGGGACUCAGGACAGGAGACUCCCAUGGAGACCAACAGGGGAGGGUGCCCACACUCUCUUGAGAUCAUGCUCCCCUCCUGGUGAGGCCCUCACCCACACUGCAGCCGUGGGCACCUCAGCUGGACCCCACAACCCCCUGCAGGUCACAGACCAGCCCUGCUCCAUCCCUGUGCAGAGCAGAGCCCCUGCCCCCUCAGCCCAGAUCUCAGCCUCAGGAUUGGGAGGACCCGGAGCCUUGCUGCUCAAGGAUGGAUCCAGAUUGGAAUCCCCUGGGGCACUUUUAACAUUACUGGGGCCUAGGCUCCACCCAAUUAUUUGGGGAAAAUCUCUAAUCAGGAAGCACAAAACAUGUAUAUGCCUCAUCCAUUUAAUGUGAACCCUGGUUUGAGUCCCAAGGAAGCAAACCCAGUAGUUCCCUUGUGGUGCAGUGGGUUAAGUAUCUGGCACUGUCACGAUAGCCGCCUCAGUCACUGCUAUGGCACAGGUUCAGUCCCUGGCCUAGGCACUUUCUCAUGCCGUGGGUGCAGCCAGAAAAAGGGGUAACUGAUAAGGACCUAUUUAUAGCAUAGGGAACUACAGUCGGUAUUUUGUAUAAUCUACAAGGGAAAAGAAUCUGCAAAAGGAUAUGUGUAUAUAUCUGUAUAACUGAAUGAUUUUGCCAUACACAUGAAACUAACACAACACUGUAAAUCAACUAUACAUCAAUUAAAAAAAAAAAGCUGGGAGUUCCCUUUGUGGCUCAGCGGCUAACAAACCCAACUAGGAUCCAUGAGGAUACGGGUUCAAUCCCUGGCCUCGCUCAGUGGGUUGGGGAUUCGGUGUUGCUGUGAGCUGCGAUGUACGUAGCAGACAUGGCUCAGAUCCUGCGUUGCUGUGGCUCUGGUGUAGGCCGGCAGCUGUAGCUCUAAUUUGACCCCUAGCCUGGGAACCUCCAUAUGCCUCGGGUGCGGCCCUAAAAAACAAAACAAAACAAAAAAAGAGGCAGAAAAAGAAUACAUGAUAACUGAGCCCCUUUGCUGUUCGGCAGAAAGGAACACUGUGUAUCAACUACAUUAAAAAAACAAAAAACAAACAAACAUAUCCCCCCCCCAAAAUACCAAAACAACUCCUGAGAUGUACAAGUUGCAGAUGCACCGGAGGAAGGAUGCCCAACUGUCCUGAGACGGAGUGGGGCUGGCAUCCUGGAGCCCAAGUGCAGAGUCAGCGACACACCAGGUCAUACCUGCAGGCCCUCUGGCCUGGCCUGCAUUUGGGAGACUGACAAGCAUCCAGCCCAAGAGAGGGAGGAGCUGCCCAGGAGCAGAGGAGGCAGCUCAGGCCAGAAGUCUUCACUCAGAGCACUCUCCUCCCUCUCAAACGGUGGAAGGGAGUUCUCGCUGCAGUUCAGCAGGUUAAGCACCCCAUUAGUUUCCAUGAGGAUGCAGGUUUGAUACCUGGACUUGUUCAGGGGUUAAGGAUCCGGUGUUGCUGUGGCUGUGGUGGAGGCCGGCAGCGGCAGCUCCAAUUCGGCCCCUAGCCUGGGAACGUCCAUAUGC
rnacentral:lncRNA from 9 species